GGGUGUAGUACCUAAUUGCCCUUUUAAGGCGAGGGUCCUGGGUUCGAGUCCCAGCCGGCUCACCA
rnacentral:tRNA from 1 species